CUUCGGAUGGUUUUUUUUGUGACGUUAGACUUCCGCUACUCUCUCUUCACAAUGUGGUGUUCACGUAUCGUCGGAAGAACGAGCUCCGAACUGUGAGGGUGUGUCGAGCUAGAGAGCAUGGUAGCUGAUGGCAGAAACUCUUUGAUUAGCGCCCUUGGAGAAGCGGAAUGAGGUAUGAA